CUGCGGCACAGAGCUCUCUGUGUUCAGGGACCCAGAACCCCGGACCAGCUGGCAGGGGUCAAAGGUCACUGGCUCUGCUGCGGAUCGGUUUAACCCGAUGAUGUCAUCAGUCACGUUCCUUUUGUGCUGAGAUCAGUGAAAACAGAGACUCUGUCCGGGUCACAGCUUUUCUCUCAGCUGCUUGGUUUGUUUGUCCAGUAAUGGAGCAUUGAAUGUUUUCAUAGUAUCAGAAUAUUAUGGGAUGGUAAUGACGAUAAGUAAAAGUACCACGUGGAUGUACUAGGUGCGUGUAUUAGUACUCGGGGGGGUCGGGGGGACUGACCGGAGUCCGGAGCAGGUGCUCAGAGCCACUCUGGAGUGAGGGAAUCCUCGGAUGUUGCCAUGGUAAUAACAGUGAGUCUGCACACAAACACACACAGACAUGGGACGUCUCUCUGGGGGUGCGUUCACUGACUCGCCACAGGGACGUCUCUCUGGCGGUGCGUUCACUGACUCACCACAGGGUCGGCUCUCACAGACACCCCGGUGCCGUCGGGCAGGUAGUAGAAGACGUUGGGCGGUUUGGGAAGCAGGUCGCUGAGGAGACACAGACAUCGAACGUCACACCUGUAACUCUAUGCUUGCGGUAUGUUCGAGGUCACCCUGUAAAUGGGAGACUUACUGGUUCUUCUCCAGGUCCAGCAGGAAGAGACGUCCUCCCACCUCCAGUCCACACUGCAGCCUGUCGGGGUGACCGUCCUGGAGACAGACAGGAGGAGCGUGUCAAACACAUGGAACUCCAGUCUCCAUGGCGACCAGGUCCUGGUCUACAUCAAACCCACAAGAGCCAAACCAUAAUACGAAUACCGCCAUAUCACCAUGGUUACUGUUCCAUGAGGAACACGCCCAAGCCCCCACAGUGUGGGCCACUGAUCCAGGAUCUGCCUCCAUCUGGACGGCCGCGUACAUCCAUUAUCCAAUCAGUGGCCUUUCCUGUCUUUGAAGAGGGACUUCCUGUCCAACGCCGGCUCCCUUUCCUCCUGUCGCCUCGAGAGGAAGAUUAGAAGUGUGUGUGUGUGUGUGUGUGUGUGUGUGUGUGUGUACGCGGCAGACGUAUUGAAUAUAUUGUAGAGACCCCGACGCGUCAUCCCUCAGCCAGCGUGCGUGCUUGGCAGGGGAGGGCAGUGAUUGGUGGGUAUUAGAGGAGGCGGGUGUUCGCCUGGUUUGUGCUGGUGAACUAGUCGAGUUAGUUAGGGGAGCUCCGGGUAAUAGAAGUGAGUACAAGCGCACACAGCGCGCGUGUCUUCUCACUCUUCAUCAUAACGGAUCAAAGGACGAACAUCUGUGGGUGAGACGCUACGAUGUGGAAGCCAAAAACUGAAUAAGACGUCAUUAAUGUUGGAUUUUCCUCAUUCGGACAGUUCUUGAACACAACAGUCAUGUGACCAUAAGAGAAUCACCAGGUGAUUGUAAUAAUAAUGUUAAUAGAUUUCUCUACUUCUAGUCAUUGUGGUUCCGUUUCCAUAGAAAAGAAAGACUUUUAUUUUGAAAAUUCAGACCGCAGAGAAAAUGUGGCUUAGAGGGUUAAAUGUGUCUACAGAUACUUUUCAUCCCUCUUGAUGGAGCCGAUUAUGUUCCGUGUUAAUAAACUGUCACAUUUUCUUUUCCUGAUAUUUAUUUUAACAACAUUGUAAAUAAAGACUCUUUUUAAAAUGAGCGGAAUUCCUCUGUUAGGCGUGUUGGUUUCUCCACCCUUCAGUGCCGUGGUGGAGUCAUUGUGCACCAGGA
ensembl:lncRNA